AUUGAACGCUGGCGGCAGGCUUAACACAUGCAAGUCGAGCGGGGUGAUGGUGCUUGCACUAUCACUUAGCGGCGGACGGGUGAGUAAUGCUUAGGAAUCUGCCUAUUAGUGGGGGACGACAUCUCGAAAGGGAUGCUAAUACCGCAUACGUCCUACGGGAGAAAGCAGGGGAUCGCUUGUGACCUUGCGCUAAUAGAUGAGCCUAAGUCGGAUUAGCUAGUUGGUGGGGUAAAGGCCUACCAAGGCGACGAUCUGUAGCGGGUCUGAGAGGAUGAUCAGCCACACUGGGACUGAGACACGGCCCAGACUCCUACGGGAGGCAGCAGUGGGGAAUAUUGGACAAUGGGGGGAACCCUGAUCCAGCCAUGCCGCGUGUGUGAAGAGGGCCUUAUGGUUGUAAAGCACUUUAAGCGAGGAGGAGGCUCUUUUGGUUAAUACCCAAGAUGAGUGGACGUUACUCGCAGAAUAAGCACCGGCUAACUCUGUGCCAGCCGCCGCAGUAA
rnacentral:rRNA from 1 species